GACGUAUGAGGCAAGCGUUGUUCGGAAUUAUUGGGCGUAAAGGGCGUGUAGGCGGGGAGCUAAGUUAGAUGUGAAAUCCAUGGGCUUAACUCAUGAACUGCAUUUAAUACUGGCUCUCUUGAGUUCGGGAGAGGUAAGCGGAAUUCCCGGUGUAGCGGUGAAAUGCGUAGAUAUCGGGAAGAACACCAGUGGCGAAGGCGGCUUACUGGCCUAGAACUGACGCUAAGGCGCGAAAGCGUGGGGAGCGAACGGGAUUAGAAACCCUUGUAGUCC
rnacentral:rRNA from 1 species